GCUCACGCAUCGGAUGAUACGUAGCAAACGACGCGGGGUUGUUUGCAUCGUACCGUCGGCGUACCUUUCCCGUUACAAAACAGUACUAGGACUAGACGGAUACGAUCCCGCACGUCUGGAAUCAUUUAAGAGAACGCAACUAAGCGAAGCUCACUAUUCGCUCACGCAUCGGAUGAUACGUAGCAGUGUGCGACACCGUUCCCACACAGAACAGAUGUGCAUAUAGCGACAGAGAAAUAAUAAAAUCUCUCCGUCGAAGCGCUCGGUCUUCGGGGCUAUGUGCCCGUAUGAAUCCCGUUCCAUAUUUUCCCGCCGAUACAGCACGAAGCCGUACACGGCGGGAGGCGCUCGGUCCUCGAGAAGAGUCCCGUUCCAUAUUUUCCCGCCGGUAGAGCACGAAGCCGUACACGGCGGGAGGCGCUCGGUCCUCUAGAAGAGUCCCGUUCCAUCGACGUACUCCGGUCGGCGAUCAAUGAGAACGCCGUCCAUCGUAAUACGUCGUUCAAUUUCAAUGUCGUCGUCAGACAACAUUGCAUUCGU
rnacentral:misc_RNA from 1 species